rnacentral:rRNA from 1 species
CAGGACGGUAGCAAUACCGUUGCUGGCGACCGGCAAACGGGUGCGGAACACGUACACAACCUUCCUUUAAGUGGGGGAUAGCCCGGGGAAACCCGGAUUAAUACCCCGUAAUAUAUAGAAGUGGCAUCACUUUUAUAUUAUAGCUCCGGCGCUUAGAGAUGGGUGUGCGGCUGAUUAGAUAGUUGGCGGGGUAACGGCCCACCAAGUCGACGAUCAGUAACUGGUGUGAGAGCACGACCAGUCACACGGGCACUGAGACACGGGCCCGACUCCUACGGGAGGCAGCAGUAAGGAAUAUUGGUCAAUGGACGCAAGUCUGAACCAGCCAUGCCGCGUGGAGGAUGAAGGUCCUCUGGAUUGUAAACUUCUUUUAUUUGGGAAGAAAUCUAUCUUUUCUUGGAUAGUUGACGGUACCAGAUGAAUAAGCACCGGCUAACUCCGUGCCAGCAGCCGCGGUAAUACGGAGGGUGCAAGCGUUAUCCGGAUUCACUGGGUUUAAAGGGUGCGUAGGUGGGCAGGUAAGUCAGUGGUGAAAUCUCCGGGCUUAACCCGGAAACUGCCAUUGAUACUAUCUGUCUUGAAUACCCUGGAGGUGAGCGGAAUAUGUCAUGUAGCGGUGAAAUGCUUAGAUAUGACAUAGAACACCCAUUGCGAAGGCAGCUCACUACGGGAAUAUUGACACUGAGGCACGAAAGCGUGGGGAUCAAACAGGAUUAGAUACCCUGGUAGUCCACGCCCUAAACGAUGGAUACUCGACAUCAGCGAUAAACUGUUGGUGUCUGAGCAAAAGCAUUAAGUAU